rnacentral:rRNA from 1 species
UACGGAGGGUGCGAGCGUUAUUCGGAAUUACUGGGCGUAAAGCGCGUGUAGGCGGCCAACCAAGUCUGAUGUGAAAGCCCUGGGCUUAACCUGGGAAGUGCAUUGGAAACUGGCUGGCUUGAGUACUGGAGAGGAAGGGGGAAUUCCCGGUGUAGAGGUGAAAUUCGUAGAGAUCGGGAGGAAUACCAGUGGCGAAGGCGCCCUUCUGGACGGUUACUGACGCUGAGACGCGAAAGCGUGGGGAGCAAACAGG